AGAGUUUGAUCAUGGCUCAGAACGAACGCUGGCGGCAUGCCUAACACAUGCAAGUCGAACGAGACCUUCGGGUCUAGUGGCGCACGGGUGCGUAACGCGUGGGAAUCUGCCCUUCGGUUCGGAAUAACAGUGGGAAACUACUGCUAAUACCGGAUAAUGACGUAAGUCCAAAGAUUUAUCGCCGAAGGAUGAGCCCGCGUAAGAUUAGCUAGUUGGUGGGGUAAAGGCCUACCAAGGCUACGAUCUUUAGCUGGUCUGAGAGGAUGAUCAGCCACACUGGGACUGAGACACGGCCCAGACUCCUACGGGAGGCAGCAGUGGGGAAUAUUGGACAAUGGGCGAAAGCCUGAUCCAGCAAUGCCGCGUGAGUGAUGAAGGCCUUAGGGUUGUAAAGCUCUUUUACCCGGGAUGAUAAUGACAGUACCGGGAGAAUAAGCUCCGGCUAACUCCGUGCCAGCAGCCGCGGUAAUACGGAGGGAGCUAGCGUUGUUCGGAAUUACUGGGCGUAAAGCGCACGUAGGCGGCUUUGUAAGUUAGAGGUGAAAGCCCGGAGCUCAACUCCGGAAUUGCCUUUAAGACUGCAUCGCUUGAAUCCAGGAGAGGUGAGUGGAAUUCCGAGUGUAGAGGUGAAAUUCGUAGAUAUUCGGAAGAACACCAGUGGCGAAGGCGGCCUGCUGGGCCUUGUCUGACGCUGAGGCGCGAAAGCGUGGGGAGCGAACCGGAUUAGAUACCCCCGUAGUCC
rnacentral:rRNA from 1 species